AUAGCCUAACUAAAAGCGCCCCGCUUACACCGGGGAGAUACCUGUGAGACCCAAGUUACUUCGA
rnacentral:tRNA from 1 species